AUGAUCAUAAAUUUUCACUGCAUGCCACUGCUGGGGGGGGGGUGUGAUGAUUUUAUUGGGCAGAGUAGAGUUGCUCAGCUAAUUAAUCAGGGAAAGAAACCUGCUGUCAGGUGCAGCACAGCACCCACCCACCUGGCAGUGCUGGUAAUCCCUGGUCCUGGUGCCUGGGUAGAGAGAAUGGAUGCAGCAAGCUUUGCAGAAGUGAAGAGGAAAAUCAGUGAAGUUAACUGUGAGGUAGCAGGGAACAGCGAAGGACAUAUGGAACACAGAGAUGUGCUCUUGCCCCCAGAACGUUAUUAAUAAAGCGAGGAGAAUGGAAGAGAUGGAAAGUGUACCUUGGAAAUAUUUCUCAGAAAUAACUGAGUAGAUCUGAAUUAAUUUUUCAAAUCGAUAUGUUGUCAGCCUGAUGUAUUUGCCAUGAAAAAUUGGGGUCUGAUCAGUUAACCCUUGGCAAAUUUAUAAGUGGCUAAACCCGAGGCAUUUAGUUAGAUGUCUCAGACAGCCCUAUUAAUGAACCAGGGUGGUGCAGACACUGCGUGCAGCUCUGGCUGGGAUGGGCUCAGGUGGUUGGAGAUAAGAGAACGCUCCUGAGAGCUUCCUUUUUCCUUUUAGAAGAAGCAAACCCAAAAAGCCUCCUAGGAAACGAGAUGCAGAAGGUCAGGUUAAUGAAGCAAGACUGCACUGCUGAGCGCUGAAAAGUUAAAAUAUGCAAAACUUAACCUCAGGUGCACAACUCUGACUCUGCCCCCUUGUGCAUAUUCAUUAAAAUACAGUCUCUAAUUACAUGUCGUAAGCUGUCUGAGCUGCGUGUGUCCUUAAGUGCAGAAGUGAGGAUUGUGCUCUGCUGUACAUGUAGUACUGGUGGUUGUCAGCACGAGGCUGGCAGCCCCAACACUGCUGCUGCUCCAGCCUGACUCCUGAUGUGCCUGACCACGCAGCCACACACUGCUCUGCCCUUUUGGUAUGCCCUCAGAUUAGGUCUGACUUCUGCACCACCAGUGCUGGUACAUCUUGAGAGAGAUGCUGCUUGCAUCUAUCUAACACCCACAGGCACUCAUUUUUGCUAUAAACCUGUGUUGAGAGCAAAUUGCUACAGUAUUUCAAAGGGAAUCCCAUGGAUGGUACCCAGGGAAGGUGGAGGGCUGUACCACGUCACUGCUGGCCUGCCUACAAGGGAAUUUUUUUUUAAUCCAUACAAAACAUAGUUAAUGACUGCGUGAACAAUCACUGCUAAUUGCUCAUAGCUGUAGAGCUUUGUUAGUGUGCAUUGGUUGGGUUUUAUCUUCAUGUGUCUCCUUCAGCUAGAAGGCUAAUAAAUUAUAGCUCCAACAGUUCCA
rnacentral:lncRNA from 1 species